UACGAAGGGGCUAGCGUUGCUCGGAAUCACUGGGCGUAAAGGGUGCGUAGGCGGGUCUUUUAAGUCAGGGGUGAAAUCCUGGAGCUCAACUCCAGAACUGCCUUUGAUACUGAGGAUCUUGAGUUCGGGAGAGGUGAGUGGAACUGCGAGUGUAGAGGUGAAAUUCGUAGAUAUCGGGGAGGAAACACCAGUGGCGAAGGCGGCGCC
rnacentral:rRNA from 1 species